CGUAGGGUGCGAGCGUUAAUCGGAAUUACUGGGCGUAAAGCGUGCGCAGGCGGUUUUAGUAAGACAGGCGUGAAAUCCCCGGGCUCAACCUGGGAACUGCGCUUGUGACUGCUAAGCUAGAGUACGGCAGAGGGGGGUGGAGUUCCACGUGUAGCAGUGAAAUGCGUAGAGAUGUGGAGGAACACCAAUGGCGAAGGCAGCCCCCUGGGUCGAUACUGACGCUCAUGCACGAAAGCGUGGGUAGCAAACAGGAUUAGAUACCCUGGUAGUCCACGCCCUAAACGAUGUCAACUAGGUGUUGGGAGGGUAAAACCUUUUAGUACCGGAGCUAACGCGUGAGGUUGACCGCCUGGGGAGUACGGCCGCAAGGUUA
rnacentral:rRNA from 1 species